rnacentral:rRNA from 1 species
UACGUAGGUGACCAGCGUUGUCCGGAUUUACUGGGCGUAAAGAGCGCGCAGGCGGUCGUUCAAGUCGAGUGUGAAAGCCCCCGGCUCAACUGGGGAGGGUCACUCGAUACUGAUCGACUUGAAGGCAGGAGAGGGAAGCGGAAUUCCCGGUGUAGUGGUGAAAUUCGUAGAUAUUCGGAGGAACACCAGAAGCGAAGGCGGCCAACUGGCCCGAUACUGACGCUGAGGCGCGAAAGCGUGGGGAGCAAACAGG